rnacentral:lncRNA from 1 species
GUACCAUAACUCCAGAAAGUUCCACAAUGGAAGCCAUGAUGACAGAAGGUAUGACUACUGGUAUCACCAAUCCAGAAGGCACCACAACAGUGACCAAAACAAUAGGAUCCACCGCAAUAACACAAAUCACCACCACUGGUACCACAACAGACAAUACAAGAAGUAACAUCACUGAAACCACAACCCCAGAAAGUACAACAAAAGAAAGCACAAAGACAGAAAGUACGACCACUGCCACCACAAUUCCCAAAAGUACAAUAAUGAAGCCCACACCAGUAGAAACAACCACAACAACAGAAAGCACCACCACUGGCACCACAACUCCAGAAAGUACAACAGCAAAGAUCACAACAACAGAAAACACCAUCACAACAACAGAAAGUAAAACAAUGGAAACUACAACAACAGAAAGUACCACCACUGCUACCGCAACUCCAGAAAGUACAACAACGGAGCCUGCAACAGUAGAAACCACCACAAUUACAGAAAGCAUCACAACUGGCACAACCAAUCCAGUACCACUACAAAGAACUACCACAGAGACCACAAUAGACAUUACAAAAACUGAAAGCACCAACACAGGCACCACAACAACAGAAAACACAACAACCAAAAGCACCACAGCAACAAAAAGUAAAACCACUGGCACCACCACUCCAGAAAGUGAUACUACAGAAACCUCAACAACAGAAAGCACUACAACUAGCAUAACAAAUCCGGAAAGCACCACAAAGAAAACUACAACAACAGAAAGGGCCACGACCAUGACCAAAACUCCAGACAGUACACCAGCAGCGCUCAUAACAACAGAAAGCUCAAUGACAGAAAGUAGAACCAUCGAUUCAACAAAACCAGAAAGUACAACACCAGAGACCACAAGUACAGAAAGUAUCACAACAACAGGAAGUACCAGCACAGGCACCACAAACAAGACCACAACAACAGAAAGCAACACCACUCCAGAAAGUACUGCCACAGACACCACAACAAUAGAAAACACUGCCACUAGCUUCACAACUUUAGAAAGUACAAAAAUGGAGACCACACCAACAAAAAGCACCACAAAAGACACUACAACAACAGAAAGCACCACCAUUGGUACCACAACACCAGAAAACACAACAAAGACCACAACUCCAGAAAGCAACACAAUGACAGGAAGUACAACUACUGGCAAAACCACUUCAGCGAAUACAACAACUGAAACCACAACAAUAGAAAGUACCACCACAGACACCACAACUGAGAUCAAAACAACAGAAGGCACCACCAUUCCAGAAAGUACUACCCCAAAGAUCACAACAACAGAAAGCACCACCACUGGUACCACAACUCCAGAAAGCACCACAGUGACAGAAAGUACAAUCACUGCCACAACCACAAAAGAAAGCACAACAGAGACCACAACAAUAGAAAGUACGACCACUGGAACCACAACUGAGAUUACAACAACAGAAGGCACCACCUCUCCAGAAAGUACUAUCACAAAGACCACAACAACUGAAAGAACCACCCCAGGUACUACAACUUCAGACAGUAAAACAAUGGAAAUGACAACUACAGAAAGCACCACAAUAGACACUACAACAACAACAAAAGAAAGCACCAACACAGGCACCACAACACCAGAAAGCACAACAACUGAAAACACAAGAAUAGAAAGUACCACCACUGGCCCCACUAUUCCAGAAAGUACAACAAUGGAGACCACAAAAACAGAAAGAAUCACCCCCGGCACAACAACUGAGGCCACGACAAUAGAAAGUACCACCAAAACAGAGAACACAAUGACAGAAGGCAUCACCACUACAGAAAGUAUUACAACAGAAACCACAACAACAGAAAGCACCACAA